rnacentral:rRNA from 1 species
UACGAAGGGGGCUAGCGUUGCUCGGAAUCACUGGGCGUAAAGCGCACGUAGGCGGCUUUUUAAGUCAGGGGUGAAAUCCUGGAGCUCAACUCCAGAACUGCCUUCGAUACUGGGACGCUUGAGUGUGGUAGAGGUUGGUGGAACUGCGAGUGUAGAGGUGAAAUUCGUAGAUAUUCGCAAGAACACCGGUGGCGAAGGCGGCCAACUGGACCAUCACUGACGCUGAGGCGCGAAAGCGUGGGGAGCAAACAGG